rnacentral:rRNA from 1 species
GACGAACGCUGGCGGCGUGCUUAACACAUGCAAGUCGAACGGAAAGGCCCUGCUUUUGUGGGUUGCUCGAGUGGCGAACGGGUGAGUAACACGUGAGUAACCUGCCCUUGACUUUGGGAUAACUUCAGGAAACUGGGGCUAAUACCGGAUAGGAGCUCCUGCUGCAUGGUGGGGGUUGGAAAGUUUCGGCGGUUGGGGAUGGACUCGCGGCUUAUCAGCUUGUUGGUGGGGUAGUGGCUUACCAAGGCUUUGACGGGUAGCCGGCCUGAGAGGGUGACCGGCCACAUUGGGACUGAGAUACGGCCCAGACUCCUACGGGAGGCAGCAGUGGGGAAUAUUGCAGAAUGGGCGGAAGCCUGAUGCAGCAACGCCGCGUGCGGGAUGACGGCCUUCGGGUUGUAAACCGCUUUCGCCUGUGACGAAGCGUGAGUGACGGUAAUGGGUAAAGAAGCACCGGCUAACUACGUG